AUGGACAUGGCCAUGGCCGGGCUAACAAGCUCAACCAACCGACCAAGAAUGGCGCCGGCACCAGGGAGGAAGAGGAAUCCCAGCAUGCACACGUGCCACCUCUGCUUGUGCUUCCUUCUCCUUGCGUCCACCGCCACCCUCUCGGCCGCCGUCACCGCUUCCUCUUACUCCACCGCCUGCCCAUCCCUGCCGCCCGCCCACGACCGCCGCACCGACGCCGACGACGCCCUUUCACUGACCCGCUCCUUCCAGAUCUCCGCCGGCCAGUUUUCUGGUGGCGCUGCCGGCCUGUUUUCCCCUCAAGAUGAUGGUCCCUACAAUGACCGCUCCUUCGCCUUUUUCCCACACGGCAUCUCCCGCACCCAAGACCCGGCUCUCCUCCACCUUACCGCCACCUUCACCCUCACCGGUCUCCGCAGCCCCGGUGGACGCCGCGACAAUUACAGCUUCCCUGCGCCCGUCUCCUUCGUCCUCGACGGCCACUACUCCUCCGCCUCGCUGCAGCUCUGCAUGGUCGGGACGGGCACCGAGCGCGGAGAGGACGGCUCCCUCAAGCACUAUCCCGACGUCGCCCUCCGCCUCCGCGUCCCCAGUCCUCCCACCCUCGCCGAUCCAUUCGGCGACGACUACAGGUACGGCUCCGAGCGCGCGGCCUGCAGCCCCAGCCCACCCAAGCACCCGGACAGGGAGUCGCUCCGGGCGCUCGGUGGCCACAACUCCCUGUGCGGCUACCUGAAACAACAGCUCAUGGCCUCGUACGGACUAGAGCACGGCGGCGCUCCGCUUCCCCGGAUGCGCGUGAACCAGAUGCACUGUACCGCGGACGGCGCGGCCGUGCACGUCCGCGCAUAUGCUGUGCUCUCCAACGACACCGGGUCGUCCGAGAGGCGCCGGCACUACCGCCGCCGACGACGCUUCUUGGUACGCGAGGAGGCCGUCGUGGCCGACGGGUACUGGGACUCGGAUCGGCGCAUGCUCUGCCUCACGGCGUGCCGGGUUCCGCUGCCGGUGCCGUCGUCUGCUCCGGCGGUGCAAGAGCACGGAUGCGGGAUCGGGAUGAGCUUCUGGUUCCCUGCCGUAUGGACGAUGCGGGAGCGGAGCAUCGUGUCCGGGAUGCUCUGGAACUCGACCGACGCCGGCUCUGGACUGAUCCACGGCGUGAUAACAGCGUCGAGCAUCGACGACCAAAGAAGCUCCACCAACCUCUCCGACGUGAAGUACAGCUACAACGACACGGUGCUCGACGAGGCCAUGAAGCAUUACCUCAAGAUGAGCAAGGAGAAGAAGAUCACCCCGGGUUCGCACUUGUUCCCGGAUUUUAACACUACUCACCGUGACUUUGAAUUCGGUUUCUACGGGCCGGACAUCGGGAGCGGACACACGGACCCUGUCACAAUCGGCUCGGCGAUGCUCGCCGGCGAGAGGCUGGCCGCCGAUGACGCCUUCUUCGAGCACACGGUGGUGGCCGUGGAAGACAAAGAGCCGGUUCUGCUGAAUGUCAGCUACACCAUACGCUACACUGCCCCACCUGAUAACUGGGUGCGCCCUACCAAUAUGUUCAACUACUCAGUUGGCUAUGAGAAGAGAAAGAUCUCAGCAGAAGGUGUUUAUGAUCCCAACAGGGGCAUCCUCUGCAUGGUCGGCUGCAAGGAGCACAACGGCUCCACGGACUGCCAGACACUGGUCGACUUCACCUCCUAUGGGAUGUACUCCUCGCAAGUGUUUGAGGCCGUAUCGAGGAUGGACAUGGAGAGCGUCCUGCUGCUGGCCUCCACCACGCUGUCGUGCGUCUUCACCAUCCUGCAGAUCCUCCACACAAAGAGGAACCCGGAGGCGGCUGCGGCGACAUCGAUCACCAUGCUCGCCGUGGUCACCAUGGGGUAUCUCGCCCCUCUCGCGCUCAACUCCGAGGCCCUGUUUGCAAGCAGGAGGAGCCAGUACUAUGACUUCUACGACUCCACGACCCGGAGGCUAGAGAUGAACGAGGUCAUGAUGACGGCGCCUACGCUGAUCGCCUUCGUGCUGCAGCUGCGCCUUCUUCAGCUGGCGUGGUCAAGCCGCCGCACAUCCAACGUGUCCGAGAGGACCGUGCUGUGGACAUGCCUGCCAUUGUACGCGCUCGGAGGAGCCUUCGCCGCCAUAAUCCACGGGAUCAACGCCGGUGCCAUGAGCGGCGACCCGUCAAUGAUCAGCAUGGGUGAAGGGCUAGCGACGAUCUGGGAGGACCUUGUGUCGUACGCGGGGCUGAUACUGGAUGGCUUCCUCCUCCCGCAGGUCGUCCUGAACGCGUCCUUAGGAACAUCCAGAGUUGGGGCGAUCUCGCCGUGGUUCUACAUAGGGGGCACCAUGGUCCGUGUGGCGCCUCAUGUGUACGAUGUGGUCAGAGCCCAUAUCUACAAGCCGAGCAUGCACUCCUCUCACCUGUACCGUGGCGACCUCUUCGGCGUCGGGUGGGACGCGGUUAUACCGUGUGGGGCAGUGCUGCUGGCCUUGUUCUUCUUCUUGCAGCAACGGCUCGGAGGCACCGCAUCGCUUCCUUCGCAGAGGAGGAGAUCGGGUGGAUAUGAAAUGGUCUCCAACAUUUAA
rnacentral:rRNA from 1 species